rnacentral:rRNA from 1 species
GACGAACGCUGGCGGCGUGCCUAAUACAUGCAAGUAGAACGCACAGUUUAUACCGUAGCUUGCUACACCAUAAACUGUGAGUUGCGAACGGGUGAGUAACGCGUAGGUAACCUGCCUGGUAGCGGGGGAUAACUAUUGGAAACGAUAGCUAAUACCGCAUAAUAUUAAUUAUUGCAUGAUAAUUGAUUGAAAGAUGCAAUUGCAUCACUACCAGAUGGACCUGCGUUGUAUUAGCUAGUAGGUGAGGUAACGGCUCACCUAGGCGACGAUACAUAGCCGACCUGAGAGUGUGCUCGGCCACACUGGGACUGAGACACGGCCCAGACUCCUACGGGAGGCAGCAGUAGGGAAUCUUCGGCAAUGGACGAAAGUCUGACCGAGCAACGCCGCGUGAGUGAAGAAGGUUUUCGGAUCGUAAAGCUCUGUUGUAAGAGAAGAACGGGUGUGAGAGUGGAAAGUUCACACUGUGACGGUAUCUUACCAGAAAGGGACGGCUAACUACGUG